rnacentral:rRNA from 1 species
UAUUGGGCGUAAAGCGUCCUCAGGUGGCCUUGUAAGUCUGUCGUUAAAGCGUGGAGCUUAACUCCAUUACAGCGAUGGAAACUACAAGGCUAGAGUGUGGUAGGGGCAGAGGGAAUUCCCGGUGUAGCGGUGAAAUGCGUAGAUAUCGGGAAGAACACCAGUGGCGAAGGCGCUCUGCUGGGCCAUCACUGACACUCAUGGACGAAAGCCAGGGGAGCGAAAGGGAUUAGAUACCCCUGUAGUCCUGGCCGUAAACGAUGAACACUAGGUGUCGGGGGAAUCGACCCCCUCGGUGUCGUAGCCAACGCGUUAAGUGUUCCGCCUGGGGAGUACGCACGCAAGUGUGAAACUCAAAGGAAUUGACGGGGGCCCGCACAAGCGGUGGAGUAUGUGGUU